rnacentral:lncRNA from 1 species
GCCUAGCCUCCCAGCCUGCAUCUUUCACCCCUGCUGGAUGCCUCCUGCCCUUGAACAUCAGACUCCAAGUUCUUCAGUUUUGGGACUGGCUCUCCUUGCUCCUCAGCUUGCAGAGAGCCUAUUGAGCCUAUUGUGGGACCUUGUGAUCGUAAGCUGAGGACCAGAGGAGUGACUCUCGCACAGCGGCUCGGUGCCUGAGCUGGAAUUCCAACCAGGGCUGUCGCCCUCUAAAGCCCUGCCAUGGCAGUGCUGCCAGCUCACUCUCCUUGGGCUCCCUUCCCACCUCCCACAUCCCCAUGUCCCCAUGGACUCCUGGUGCCACGGCACAGCUGCAUGGGGGUGAUUCAUGCUGGACACCUGAGACACAAGGAGAGGAGGCAGGGAGCUGCCGAAAGAGGUUCAGUUAAAAACUUCCAACAAUGAGGGAGUGAGUUACCAACUUUCAGGAAGCCUUGUUUGGGUCCCAGCCCUUUUCCCUUUGGGUAUAAUUUGUUGGUAUGACACUGAAC